CCCUAUUCCCUCUUAUAGUUAUUUGAGCAUUCAUUUCAUUUAGUGAUUAUUUGAUUGAUUUAUUGAUGUUUGUCAUGUUGUUGUCCUCCAUACUAGGGUUGGUGUGAAUAAUCAAAUAUGACAUAAUACUAAUUAAUUAGUGAUUAAAAACCGACAUUUUCUACCAAGUAGCAUCAUUUUUAAAUCAAGCUGCUGCUCUACAUCACAGACAUCCAGCAGAGGCCUUAUUUAUUUACAUAAUAUUUCAAUAUCUGGCUAGUUUGCUGCAUUGUUCUACAAUGCCAAGGAAUAGCUUAUUCCUCACCUUUGGAAACUAACCGUGUGCUAUUUUUGUUAUAGAUCUAGGAGCUAAAUCAACAUUGUGGAUGGGCAACCUCUAUAUAGGUGUAAUAUGUGAAUGGGCGUGUGGCAAUGUAAGAAUACAUUGAGGGGAAAGAUGUCAUGUCCUGUCCACCUGCGAGUUGUUCUUGGUGUAGAUGACGCAAGAAAACGUACCCUCAAGUCAGGAAUGCCA